UGCAUCUCCGCUCACUGGCUCCUCUGCUCCUCGUUCUUCUUCAUUCUUCAGCCUCGCUCCCAUCUCCGCCCCGCCCCCUUCCUCUGCUUCCCUCUCUCAUUAAAACACACCCCUCCAGCCGCGGCCAGCACACACUCACACGAGCGGCUGGCACGAGCGGCAGUGUCCGAGAGCGCGAGCUUGGCUCACGCGAGAGCAACGCUCGGGAACUUCGCUUCGGCCGUGAAAUCCUCGGAUAAUCGCUUCAGCGUUGGGCUGCUGACUGCGGAGCGCUCGCGCUGCGUGCCUCUCCCCGCUCGGGCAUGUUGGAGGACUGAAGAGGACAGAAUUGAACUCCUGCUUUCUUACAAAGAGGAUUCAAUGAAAAUGUCUGUCUGCGUCCACGAGAACCGCAAGUCGCGGGCCAGCACGGGCUCCAUGAACAUCUACCUUUUCCACAAGUCCUCAUAUGCUGACAGUGUCCUGAUGCACCUGAAUGUGCUCCGGCAGCAACGGCUCUUCACUGAUGUGCUACUCCAUGCCGGAAGCCGUUCUUUCCCCUGCCAUCGGGCUGUGCUGGCUGCCUGCAGCCGGUACUUUGAGGCAAUGUUCAGUGGCGGGCUGAGAGAAAGCCAGGCUAAGGAAGUAGACUUCAGGGAUUCCAUUCAUCCAGAGGUAUUGGAGCUUCUGUUGGAUUACGCAUACUCGUCACGCGUGGUAAUCAACGAGGAGAAUGCUGAGUCUCUGCUAGAGGCAGGCGACAUGCUGGAGUUUCAAGACAUCCGUGAUGCCUGCGCUGAGUUCCUGGAGAAGAACCUUCAUCCAUCCAACUGCCUGGGUAUGCUCCUUCUGUCUGAUGCCCACCAGUGCACCCAGCUGUCCCAGCUAUCUUGGAGCAUGUGUCUCAGUAACUUUCCAGCCAUCUGCAAGACAGAGGAGUUUCUGCAGCUUCCCAAAGACAUGCUUGUACAACUGCUCUCACACGAGGAGCUGGAGACAGAAGAUGAGAGGCUGGUCUAUGAGUCAGCACUCAACUGGGUGAACUAUGACCUGGAACGACGACACUGCCACUUGCCAGAACUGUUGCGCACUGUACGCCUUGCCCUUCUGCCUGCCAUCUUUCUCAUGGAGAAUGUCUCCACAGAGGAGCUCAUCAACAGUCAGGUCAAGAGCAAGGAGCUGGUGGACGAGGCCAUCCGUUGCAAGCUACGCAUCUUGCAGAAUGAUGGCGUGGUCAACAGCCCUUGUGCCAGGCCACGCAAGACCAGCCAUGCCCUUUUUCUGCUUGGUGGUCCUACUUUUAUGUGUGACAAGCUCUACUUGGUGGACCAGAAGGCCAAGGAGAUCAUCCCAAAGGCAGAUAUUCCAAGUCCACGCAAGGAAUUCAGCGCGUGUGCGAUCGGCUGCAAGGUCUACGUGACCGGUGGUCGAGGCUCUGAAAACGGUGUGUCCAAGGAUGUUUGGGUGUACGAUACCUUGCACGAAGAGUGGUCUAAAGCAGCACCAAUGCUGAUAGCUCGAUUUGGCCAUGGCUCAGCAGAACUGAGGCACUGUCUGUAUGUGGUCGGUGGUCACACAGCUGCGACUGGCUGCCUUCCAGCCUCGCCGUCUGUCUCCUUGAAGCAGGUGGAGCAGUAUGACCCAGUUGCCAACAAGUGGAGCAUGGUGGCACCUCUACGUGAAGGUGUUAGUAACGCAGCAGUUGUCAGUGUCAAACUCAAGCUGUUUGCCUUUGGAGGAACAAGCGUGGCUCACGACAAGCUGCCCAAGGUCCAGUGCUAUGACCCACUGGAGAACCACUGGACUGUCCCAGCAUCAUGCCCACAGCCGUGGCGCUACACUGCGGCUGCUGUGUUAGGGAACCAGAUCUUUGUAAUGGGCGGUGACACUGAGUUCUCCGCCUGUUCUGCUUACAAGUUUAGCAGCGAAACCUACCAGUGGACUAAAGUAGGUGAUGUUACAGCUAAGCGAAUGAGCUGCCAGGCAGUAGCCUCGGGAAACAAACUUUACGUAGUUGGUGGCUAUUUCGGAACACAGCGCUGCAAAACACUAGACUGCUACGAUCCUACAUUGGAUGCCUGGAACAGCAUAACCACUGUACCCUAUUCCCUAAUCCCCACUGCCUUCGUCAGCACCUGGAAGCACCUCCCAGCCUGACAUCUGCAUGCCUUGGCUGUACAUUGACCUUCCUUCAUCCUGUGAGGGCAAAAAGUAGGAGUGUGAAGCUGCCAAGCAAGCUUACUCCAUUCCUGACCCCCUAAAGAUUCCCUGUUUUCCCAUUGUUGUUGAUGUCUACUGGAUUCUGACUGUGAAGAUUCGACUGUGCAAUUUCAUCGAGACACUUUCUUCCAUUAAAAGCUCGAACUUGAUGUUGAAGACGUCCGAUUGCAAAGCUUUCCCUUUCUUUGUGCUGCAAAUUAACAGACCUACUGCUACUGCUUUGGAAAAGGCGUUUCGUAAAAAAGCUGCAACGUCAUUCCUUCGUCUCUGUGGAGCUUUUGGAACAUGGUCCUUGGUGUGGCAACUGAACAAACUGAAAACAAAAUACUCCCAACGACCAUCCGAAAAAAAGACCAAGCAGCGUCCAGCAUGAUUUGGUGUUCUGUGUCCAUUGUGUUGGUGCAUGUUGUCUGUCUUUUUUUUUUUUUUAAGAAGACUGUAAAAUAAGUGGAAAAAGACUUAACAUGCUUCUGAAAACAGAAGCCUCGCUUUAAGGAGCUGUGAACCAGAAGGUUCAAGAGAAUAAUCUUAAGACAGAGGUUGAGAACCUUGCAUUCUCUGACCUGUUUUCUGCCAGUGUUUCCAUAUAAAGCCUCUUUUUGCUCAGAAUAAAAAGUCAGACAUCUCUAAGAGGCCUUUUAGAAACAUAACAAAUGGAAAUUGUCCUUUUUUCCUCGACCGUAAAGGAUGAAAGCAGCGAGAUAAACAACCUGUUUGUCCCUUAUUGCCUCUGAUUGAACGGGAAUGGACUGAUGCUGGCUUGUUCCUGACAAACAGACCCUGGCAACCUGGUGUGAAACUGGCUGUCGGAGCACAUCCUGAGGCGAGGCACACACCAGCUUGUGUGUUUGUGUGUGUGUGAAUGUAUGUGUGUGUGUGAGAGUGUGUGAGAGAGUGUGUGUUAGUGUGGAGAAGGUCAGCAUGUCCCAGCAUGUUCUCCUGAGUGAGAAUCCAGCUGACAAGACUCUCCAUCCAGUCGUCCAUUCUUCUUCCAAAAAAAAGAGACACCAAAAAAAAAAAAAACGGACGGAGCAUGCCCACUGUGGACGGACUUUAUUGCACGACGGACAACUAGACUGACCAACAAACUGAGACACUGUCCUUUCCUCAGUGUCUCCCUAUGACCUCCAUGUAGGAGAUCAGGCAGCAGAGAACAUUGAAGAACAAGCUGCUCUACCAGUGUGAAGUUGCUUAUGAGGCUUCUUUUAAACCAAGCGUAGCCUUGUUAUAAGGUGGCGAGCAGUUCUGUUCUCACACAUAUGGCCUGAGUGGAAAAAACGCGAAAGACAGAGCGAUAGAAUGAUAGAGAGACAGAGAGAGUGAGAGUGGUGAGAGUUGUUCUGUCAGCUGGAGGGGGAAUGUAGUCUCCAUGGCAACAACAACGAGCAACCUGGAAAAAAAAGGAAAAAAAUAACUUGUGAAUUUUUCUUUUCCUGGAAAAAAGUGAAAAAAAAAACUGGUUGUCUUUUUAUAGAAUUUAAACGCUGACUUAAGGAUUUAAAUCUGUAUUUUGUAUUCAUGAAUUACAUUUAUUUGUCUUUUAAAAACUUGAGAGGUGGUAAGAUUUGCUGUUGAAAUACAUUUCUAAAAAAUUAUUUCAUUACUUUUCAAAAACAAACUUUUUAAGAUUAAAAAAAAUUCAGAUCCAUACAUUUUCAGAUUUAAAAAAUCUGAUUCAAAUCUGUCUGAUUUAGAACUUUGUGAGAUGAUGCUGUGAUUGGUUUAAUUGUGUAUUCAAUAAGAUCAGAUGGCUCAUCUCUAGCCUAAAUUCCUGUUUCUGAGUUUCAAAACAGAUAUUUAUAAUUUGUAGAGGUGUGCCAAAAAAUCGAUUCACAUAAGAAUCUUGAUUCUCAUUUACUACGAUUCAGAAUCGAUUUAAAAUGUCCCAAAAUCGAUUCUGAGGGGCGGGUUUUAGACUGAUUUUGGGCUGGGUAUUUUUGUUGGACCUGGCAACCCUGGGGAUAGCGCUUGUCCUUUCAAACGGAGAUCUUCCAGACACACACAGAGCGUAGGUGUUUGAGAAUCACCGGUAAGAUGGCAGAACAAGCACUAUAUUACAUUAGAUUAACGUGUAGUUUCAAUGUUUUAUGGCAGAAUGCUUCAUAACAAGCAUAAAAAAGAUCGCUAGUAGUUAGUUUCAGUAACUGUUAGCUAGCUAACUAGCUAACUUUCCAGUUCCACCUUAAAUAACGCUACAGGUGGCAGCGGGCUGCAGCAUUUAAGGCGGAACGGAAAAAUACAAUAAGCUAAUCAGAGCUAAUUUCAGCUCCUCAUCACAGAGGAAUUAAGGAAUGGACCAUAUGAAUUAAUUUCUCCACCUCCUGCCCCCUUUCUGAAGAAAUACAACGACCUUAAAUUAACUAGUUAAUCAGCAGCUGCUCCUGAACUUUAGCGCUCCACUGCUAUCAUCACAUCAGCCCAGCAGCGUCACCUACACACCACCGCUAGUAGCCUGGUAAUAAAGCAGUGUUAUUUAUUAUUUAUUUAUUGUUCAUUAACGUCAUUGUGAUAUCCCAGUGAUUCCUCUGUCACUGAGGACCCACAUUCCUGCACAUUUUAUUGUUUUUGUAACACAUUACCUGCUCCAGGACCAGUGUAUAUUAUGGAGGGUUUUUUUUCAAUAAGAUUCAUAAGCCAGAAGCAGAAAUUUUUAUAAUUCAAAUCGUUUUGAAUCAAAAAUCGAUUUUGAAUCGAAUCGUGGCCCCCAAAAUCGGAAUCGAAUCGAAUCGUGAGAUAGUAAACGAUUCCCACCCCUAAUAAUUUGUGGGUUUGAUUUUUUUUUUAAAAAUGAAAUUUUACCACCUUAUUAAGUUCAAUACACAAAAUGCACUUUUUUUAAUUAAGAUACGGCAUUAGCUAUUUUAAGUUUAUUAAAAGUCAGAUACAUUUAAUUCAAGUAUACAAAAUUCACAUUCAGAUACUGAAGUCAGCGUUUAGGCUCUAUAUGUCUUAAGACCUUUUAGUGUCUGCUCAUAGUCUUUUUAAUUUAUGAGUCUUUUUUUACGGUUGUUUUUUUUUAUUGUUCAUUUGAACCUAUGUGUAUUAUUAUUUUUGUAUUUAUUGAUGAUCUGCUUGCAUACAUAUCCAGAUGUACAGAAGGCGGGUUUCGUGUUUUGUGCUACACGCUACGCCGCUAUGCAUGGCCCAUAUUUGCUCUGUUACCUAAAAGCUGCUCUUUUGCACAUAUCUAAGCUACGUCAUGCCGUUUUGGUUGGGCCAGGCUGAAAUUCCUAGGGGUCAGCAAACGCUUGGCUCUCUGGCUCCACCGACCUGAAAAGAGGGAGGGAGGGGGACCAGGCUUGGGGUCGUAGGUCGUUGCCUGAAGAACAAAAAAACAGGGCUGGAUGAUGUCACAGGAUCAGAUUACCCAUGGUGCAAAGGAAAAAGACAGCAGGAGGGACUGCAAGGGGGAAGGGUCGGGGGUUUGGGCUGGCUGGGUCCUCUUACAUCCAGGAGACCAGGGUUUUAAUUUAGUGAGGGCUUGAAGGCAUCUACAACACACAAGCCCCAAUUGUAAUGCUUGUGUUUGUAGGCUACAAUUAGUCCUUUAUAUCUAAAGCAGAUCUUGAGGAUCUUGAGGCUCUGCUCUGGUGGUCCUAAAAAUAUAUAUAUAUCCAAACUACACAAUGUUAAAACUUUUCAUUUGUUUCGAUCUGAAGUAACUCUGAAGCUAGUUUCCAAAUAGAACUGUAAAAGGGUGGUUCAACCAAACACUGAACCAAUAAUGAAUCUAGUUCGGAAUGCAUCAAUGUUAUUGGAACAUUGUCAGCUGAUUUUGAUAUCUUUUAUUUGGUGCUGUAUCUGUCACUUUUAAAUAGUCAUAAUCUUUCCAGAACUCAAUUCCACUCAAUUUUUAGGCAAUUAUCUGGUGAUACUGAUAUGAUUCCGAUAAUAUUGUGCAUUCCUUUUGAGCCACCUUCGCACUUAUGUUUGGUUGUACCAUCCAUUUACCACCUGUAGUCAACAAACCUUACUUGACAGACACAGCAUGCUGGCUGAAUGCUAAACAGCGGCCAACAUGGCCUCUUGCUGACCCCGCUACGUCAGUCCCUCUGGCAGUGCUCAAACAGGAUCUGACCCAGGGUCAGCACGAGUGGUAAGGUCCCUGUGGCGCUAUGUGAGAAAUGUGGAAACCUACAGCUGCUCUCAGAACAGCUGGAAGUGUCAUAACGUUGUAGGUGCGAUUCGCAGUAGAGCGUUUGGGUGUUAAAUGACGUUAGCAGACUUUGCAGCACAUGGCCUCAGAACAGGGUUAAAGGAAGUCAAUCACCUACACUUGCAAGCAGAGUGAUUAGCAUGUUCAUAGAAAUUUCACUGUUGCACCAGAAUUGGGCUGGGUUUCCUGAAAGCAUGUUAUCACAAAAAUGAUUCCAAUAUGGUUCGGCAAGCGUCACACUAAACACUAGAACACUUUCUUUGGCUGAAAAAAUGAAGAAAUUGGUGGGUUUUGAACUCCCAUAAGCUUUCAAAAAGCUAUACAUUACUGCCAGCAUUUGGCAAAUGA